rnacentral:rRNA from 1 species
CCUACGGGAGGCAGCAGUGAGGAAUAUUGGUCAAUGGACGGGAGUCUGAACCAGCCAAGUAGCGUGAAGGAUGACUGCCCUAUGGGUUGUAAACUUCUUUUAUAUGGGAAUAAAAUGUUCCACGUGUGGGAGUUUGUAUGUACCAUAUGAAUAAGGAUCGGCUAACUCCGUGCCAGCAGCCGCGGUAAUACGGAGGAUCCGAGCGUUAUCCGGAUUUAUUGGGUUUAAAGGGAGCGUAGGUGGAUUGUUAAGUCAGUUGUGAAAGUUUGCGGCUCAACCGUAAAAUUGCAGUUGAAACUGGCAGUCUUGAGUACAGGAGAGGUGGGCGGAAUGCGUGGUGUAGCGGUGAAAUGCUUAGAUAUCACGAAGAACUCCGAUUGCGAAGGCAGCUCACUGGACGGCAACUGACACUGAGGCUCGAAAGUGUGGGUAUCAAACAGGAUUAGAUACCCCUGUAGUC